GACAGAGGGUGCAAACGUUGCUCGGAAUUACUGGGCGUAAAGCGCGUGUAGGCUGCUCUGCAAGUCGGAUGUGAAAGCCCUGGGCUCAACCUAGGAAGUGCAUUCGAAACUGCAGAGCUGGAGUCCUGGAGAGGAAGGCGGAAUUCUCGGUGUAGAGGUGAAAUUCGUAGAUAUCGAGAGGAACACCGGUGGCGAAGGCGGCCUUCUGGACAGUGACUGACGCUGAGACGCGAAAGCGUGGGGAGCAAACAGG
rnacentral:rRNA from 1 species